rnacentral:rRNA from 1 species
UACGUAGGGUGCGAGCGUUAAUCGGAAUUACUGGGCGUAAAGCGUGCGCAGGCGGUUUUGUAAGCCAGAUGUGAAAUCCCCGGGCUCAACCUGGGAAUGGCAUUUGGGACUGCAAGGCUGGAGUUUGGCAGAGGAGACUGGAAUUCUCGGUGUAGCGGUGAAAUGCGUAGAUAUCGAGAGGAACACCUGCGGCGAAGGCGGGUUGCUGGGCUGACACUGACGCUGAAGCGCGAAAGCUAGGGGAGCGAACGGG